UAGGGAAUCUUCGGCAAUGGACGGAAGUCUGACCGAGCAACGCCGCGUGAGUGAAGAAGGUUUUCGGAUCGUAAAGCUCUGUUGUUAGAGAAGAACGGUGGUAGGAGUGGAAAAUCUACCACGUGACGGUAACUAACCAGAAAGGGACGGCUAACUACGUGCCAGCAGCCGCGGUAAUACGUAGGUCCCGAGCGUUGUCCGGAUUUAUUGGGCGUAAAGCGAGCGCAGGCGGUUCUUUAAGUCUGAAGUUAAAGGCAGUGGCUUAACCAUUAUACGCUUUGGAAACUGGAAGACUUGAAUGGAGAAAGGUGGAGUGGAAUUCCAGGGGUAGCGGGGAAAUGGGUGGAUAUAUGGAGGAAAACCGGGGGCGAAGGCGGCUCUCUGGUCUGUAACGGACGCUGAGGCUCAAAAGCGUGGGGAGAAAACAGG
rnacentral:rRNA from 1 species